GGCACUGCCUGCAGGAUGGCUAUGGCGUGCGCUGCUCGCUGCUCGACAGGCGCCGCCUCCUCAUCCAGGCCAACGCCAGGGGCUCGCGGCCGCGUCGGCCUCGCUCUUCAAGGCCUCUCGCGGGAGCCACUCGUGCCUGCACAGCGACUUCUGAUGCCGCGCCGCCGCCGCCCGCGCACGCCACCAACCGGUUCCUGUCUAAGUAGUUCGCGUCAUGGCUGCUGGGCGCGGAGAGCGGCCUUGACCCCGCGCCGAUGGAGGAGGAGGACGGCGGCUCCGGCGGGGGCCUAAGCCGCGCGGCGCCUCACCACGGGAGGCCGCCAUCAGCGUUGGAUUUGGACUGCAGGCGGCAGCUCCCUGCGGUCGCCGAUCUGGGCAUGGUGUUGCGUGUCGACCCUGUGCCUGCAAGCGGCACAACUGCUGGUGGAUGGAGGUCACGCAGCAGCGCUCCCAAAUUGCUCGAGCUGUUCUCUCCCACAGGGCUCCCAAAUUGGGCAAAAUUCACCUGGAGCAGGUGGCGCCAAGGCUAGCGCGCAGGCCGCAUGGAGCCAAGCAGCCAACGCAAGGUUCAGCUGAGCUAUCCUCAAGGCCAGACAAUCACAGCUUCACCGUUCUUGUGGUGCAUCCUAGAUAUGUCUCAUAUAGAUACAUGUGCCUCUGGAAUUGUGAAUCAAGCAGGAGAUAGCCAGUGAUACUGCCAAACUGAUCUACAUGUUAUGCCAACCAUUUUGUUGCAUAAUUUUACUAUUUCAAUGCUGGUAUGCAGUAUGAUCUAUGAGUAGAGCUUAGUAGAUAGCCUCUUAAUGUUUGUGAUAGCAUUGCCUUUUUAAUAUAGAUCUUGGUAAUAGUGUAUUUCAGAGAGCCUUUUUGUAGAAGGAUAGAACUGAUAUCUAAGCAAAUCAUAUGUUUUUAGAGUCCAGUGAAGAGUGCUUUUGUUCCACACUUGCUGUUGGUUCCUGUAGAUUUCCCUGCCGGGCAAUGGUCAUGUUUUCACCACAAAGCUGAGCUUGUAGGCGUGAUAAGUUACUGCCCUAGGAAGGCUGCAGGGGUUACAAACGCGUCAUUCAGCGAACUUUUCUUGAGACAUCUGACUUUCUUAAAGAUGAUUGCUUCAAGAUAUAAUGCACUCUAGGAUUUUUGUGUCAACUAUUGAAUAUUGAUUACUCCAUGCCACAGUCCAUUCAGGUCCCAUACUUCAACAUUUCCUACCGGGAGAUUGGAAGAAUAAUCGUGCAGAUUUCCCUGCUGAAAGAUUUCUGGCCUCGAGGAUACCAAUGUGUUGCUUGCAUCUAGGAAUACAGGGUUCAAACAACUCGACAACAGCCAUAUGAGGUAGACAUUAUUGUCGACAACCAAGAGCCAUGCAACCCUCUAUCCAUGUCCGAACAUAGGCCAAGUUAAUAACAUGAUUUGCCUUCACACUGCACUUCCGAAUUGUAUUUCUACAUUGUUUCUAGAUACCCUACUUCCAUGAAAGGGUUGCAGCCUUGAUUUGAAUAGAAGAGCUCAUGUCGAAGACCAAAGAAAAAAAGGACAUAUCCACAAAGGAGUCGAUCCAGCUGAAACUUAGAUAUCGAAACCAUAGAAGCCAUCUGCCUAUCAGAAGGAAAGAGACACAGAAGGAAGGAGAGCGUCUUCUCCACUAGAUAGAUGUCAGCUUCCCAAACGGUGCCAAAGCCAAGCCUUCCACAAGGAGCUCACCCGUGGUGCUGUUCCUUACCAUAAUAGGCGAAUGCAUGAAAAUCAUCGUCUUAUCCCCUGAUUGCAAGGACAACUUCGACAAGUACCAAUGGUUUUACAAGUUGAAAGAAUCAAAUAAUUGUCUUGGCAUGGUGUUCUAAUUAAUGUGUUUUUAGGCUAUGGUUAUUAUCAAAUGUGUGUCCUGUUUUAUUUUUAAUUGUAUUGUUCCAUUUAUGUUUAAUGGUGUACUAAAAAUUAUGACGAGAUACAACAUAUCA